rnacentral:rRNA from 1 species
ACGGACUUAACCGAAAUAUUUAUAUUUUGGAGCGGUUAGUGGCGGACUGGUGAGUAACGCGUAAGCAAUCUGCCUAUUAGAGGGGAAUAACAGUGAGAAAUCACUGCUAAUACCGCAUAUGCCAUGAACAUCGCAUGAUGAAAAUGGGAAAGGAGUAAUCCGCUAAUAGAUGAGCUUGCGUCUGAUUAACUAGUUGGUGUGGUAAUGGCAUACCAAGGUAACGAUCAGUAGCCGGACUGAGAGGUUGAACGGCCACAUUGGGACUGAGAUACGGCCCAGACUCCUACGGGAGGCAGCAGUCGGGAAUAUUGCGCAAUGGAGGAAACUCUGACGCAGUGACGCCGCGUAUAGGAUGAAGGUUUUCGGAUUGUAAACUAUUGUCAUUAGGGAAGAUAAAAGACAGUACCUAAGGAGGAAGCUCCGGCUAACUACGUGCCAGCAGCCGCGGUAAUACGUGGGGAGCAAGCGUUAUCCGGAUUUAUUGGGUGUAAAGGGUGCGUAGACGGGAGAUUAAGUUAGUUGUGAAAGCCCUCGGCUUAACUGAGGAAUUGCAACUAAAACUGGUUUUCUUGAGUGCAGGAGAGGUAAGUGGAAUUCCUAGUGUAGCGGUGAAAUGCGUAGAUAUUAGGAGGAACACCAGUGG